UCGCUCCUACCGAUUGAAUGUGCUGGUGAAGACUUCGGAUUGGCUGUUUGGUUAGGUUUCCUAGCCUCGCCGCUGAGAAGUUGUUUAAACCCUCCCAUUUAGAGGAAGGAG
rnacentral:rRNA from 1 species